CAAAAAUCAAGAAAAAAUAAAACAAAAAUAAGAAAUGAGAAACAAGAUAAGGAUGUUCUGGUUGUAUUGUCUCCUCUCUCUCUUUUCUUCUCUCUUUUCAAUUACAAUUUGGCUUGUAGAAGUGGGAGAAGUUUUUCUGAUUCAUGCAGUUCAACAAUAGUGCCACAAUUGCCUAGAAAUUCACCAUCAAGAAAAACAAGAGGAACAGUGUGUAGUUUUGUUUUUGCAUACAAUUCUAA
rnacentral:ribozyme from 13 species